GGAGGGAGCGAGCGUUAAUCGGAAUUACUGGGCGUAAAGCGCGCGUAGGCGGCUUUGUAAGUCGGAUGUGAAAGCCCUGGGCUUAACCUGGGAAUGGCAUUCGAUACUGCAUAACUAGAGUAUGGUAGAGGGAAGUGGAAUUUCCGGUGUAGCGGUGAAAUGCGUAGAUAUCGGAAGGAACACCAGUGGCGAAGGCGACUUCCUGGGCCAAUACUGACGCUGAGGUGCGAAAGCGUGGGGAGCAAACAGGGAUUAGAUACCCUGGUAGUCCACGCCGUAAACGAUGAGAACUAGAUGUCGGGGGGGAAUCUGUCCUUCGGUGUCGCAGCUAACGCGUUAAGUUCUCCGCCUGGGGAGUACGCCGGCAACGGUA
rnacentral:rRNA from 1 species